CAUCUACCGAACAGGAAGGACCCU
rnacentral:misc_RNA from 1 species